rnacentral:tRNA from 1 species
GGAGGAGUGGCAGAGUGGUUGAAUGCAUCGGUCUUGAAAACCGACGUACGUGAAAGCGUAUCGGGGGUUCGAAUCCCUCCUCCUCCG